UGCCAGCAGCCGCGGUAAUACAGAGGGUGCAAACGUUGUUCGGAAUCACUGGGCAUAAAGCGCACGUAGGCGGUCAUGUAAGUGUGGAGUGAAAGCCCACGGCUCACCCGUGGAACUGCUUCGCAUACUGCAUGACUCGAGGACGGUAGGGGAGAGCGGAACUCUUGGAGGAGCGGUGAAAUGCGUAGAUAUCUGGAGGAACAUCAGUGGCGAAGGCGACCUCCUGGACUGAUAUUGACGCUGAGGUGCGAAAGCGUGGGGAGCAAACAGGAUUAGAUA
rnacentral:rRNA from 1 species